rnacentral:rRNA from 1 species
AUUGAACGCUGGCGGCAUGCUUUACACAUGCAAGUCGAACGGUAACAGGGUGCUUGCACCGCUGACGAGUGGCGAACGGGUGAGUAAUGCGUCGGAACGUGCCGAGUAGUGGGGGAUAACGCAGCGAAAGUUGUGCUAAUACCGCAUACGUACUGAGGUAGAAAGUGGGGGACCUUCGGGCCUCACGCUAUUCGAGCGGCCGACGUCUGAUUAGCUAGUAGGUGAGGUAAAGGCUCACCUAGGCGACGAUCAGUAGCGGGUCUGAGAGGAUGAUACGACACACUGGGACUGAGACACGGCCCAGACUCCUACGGGAGGCAGCAGUGGAGAAUUCUGGACAAUGGGCGAAAGCCUGAUCCAGCCAUGCCGCGUGUCUGAAGAAGGCCUUCGGGUUGUAAAGGACUUUUGUCGGGGAGGAAAUCCCCAGCGUUAAUACCGCUGGGGGAUGACAGUACCUGAAGAAUAAGCACCGGCUAACUACGUGCCAGCCGCCGCGGUAA